AUCAAAUACAAACGGACUCCAAUAAAGCCAAGCCAACUAUAUCCAAAUAACCUUUGAAGAAUGGAAUGGAAGAAUUCUGCAGGAGUUGUCAGAGCAAUCAUCUUCUUAUCAACAGGACUCUGCCAAAUUUCAUUGCUAAUGUUUGAUUCUGUGAAAAUCCUUUAAUGUGAUUUGGCUGCUUGGAUAGCCCAAUAACUUCAGUCAAGUUCUACAUUAUGAAUUCCCAAUGAAGAACGUUUCACACAGUAACAGUACCACUACGUACUGGUAGGAAAUGAAAAUACUAGACUUACUUCAUGGACAACAGCAACUGUCAUUGCUUCACCACUGAGUGAAAAUUUAGAUCAUAACAUAUUGAAAUCAUUAUAACAAUAAUCUCCAUAAUAAAAGUUGAAAUAUGUUAUUUUUUAAAAUAUUCAUUCUCGGGAAAUGAAAAAUCCUCACUUGUUCCAAUUAAAUUAUGUUCACUCGAGUGUGUCAAGUACACAGAUAUAUUGGCACAAUUUACCAAGUGCAGUUUCUGCUGUUUUAAGUCAAAGCAAAAUCAACUGAUGUAUGUUCUUAAGUUGACUAAUAUUGAUAUGAUCAGAGGACACUCAAAUAGAGACUGACCUUGCACCUGAAAGA